UGCUCUGAGGGGCUCUGAAAAACUGAUUGCUGUUUGGUUGAAGUUGAAAGUCUCUGCCUUUUGAAGACAGUUUUUAUUUUUCAUAUAUCCUGCACUACACUUCCAUAUACUGGAAGGCAUUAGCUGGUUCUAUUGCUGACUCGUAACAAUAUGGUGUUACACCCCCUUCCUCGGUGCCAAUCCACACCAACCUUGCAUAUAUUCUGUAGGGGCAACAAUACACAAUGGCCCGGCUCAAAGAGAAACCCAUCAGUCCCCGCUCAGGAACCUCUUCUCAACAGCCCUAUUUCCACAUGCUCGGGAAUCUGCCUCACCAUUUCACAGCUACUCUUUCAAGGCUAACACUUUGGGACUGGAUGCAACAGUAUCUUCACUGCAUUGAGAGAAGGAAUCUGAGCUGCGAAUCUACCUCCCGACCAGGAAGGGUGCUAAGUAAAGUUGGUGGUACGCCUUCACAGGGAUGGGCCGACUCGAUGGUAGGAUGGAACCGGAAGUCAGCAAUCUUGGGAAAAGGACGUAGCUAUAAGACUGCCGAACGACUCUAUUUUGAUCAGAUGGAUAGAGUGUGACACCGCACUGAUCACAGGGAGGAGUUUAGCAGUACAAAGGGGACGCAGCUAAGUGAGUACUGCCCCUUACGCUGAAACCUGACCCAGCCGGAGCAUUGCUUUGCUAUUGUUUUGUUUUUGCAGAUGGAGACCACGGGAGCUGUCGCCACUGAGCCAGCACAAGCACCCGGACCACCUGCAUUAGGACAGCACUGCAAGGAAGUACAGCACCAUGGAGAGCGAGCACCUGCACCCUGGACACUGUAUUUAAUUGUUUAUUUGUUUAUUAUUUCUGGGACCUUUUUGUUGGGACAGCAAGACCAUCUUUUACAUCCCCAAUCCCACUGAUGAUGGAGGAGAUAGCCUUUCAAAAUAAACAGGACUGUUUUAUUAUUAUACUGAUUUUGUGGACAUUGACUUUCUCCUGCACCACCACUCACAUCCUGACACAUC